CAGUACCUGCCUUGUGAGUACUGUACUGUAUAUACAGUAUAGUAACCUUUUCUUUUUUUCAACAUUUCGCUUUUAUAUUGCUGAUAAACCCACAGUAGGAUUCAAACAUGUCCUCCCUAUGAAUGUAAAACCGAUCUCACCUUGCUGAGCACAAAGCUGCAGUUUACAGGUGAGCUUUUGAUAAAGUUUCAUUUAACCUUGCCUGAAGGGACUGACAUUGGGCUUCAGUGAGCUUACUUGGCUUACUUUGCCCCGCUACUUCCCCGAGUCAUGCACGGUUAGGAAACAGAUCCAGAAUGGUGAUCAAGAUGCGCCAUGAGAGGGAACAACAAAGCAGGCUUUUCAGAUGAGCUGCAAUUAUCGCUCAGCAUGUGAAUGGCUGAGCUGUGCUCAGAAGGAGAAUCACUCCACUGCGUUUGCCUGAUUGGAAAUCACUUCUCACAAACAGCACAAUCACCUUUAAAGUUUCUUUUUGGGGUGAUCAGGGGCUGUAAUAAACACAUACUGUAUGAGCUGUCAUGCAGUGGAGUUUGGAUGGAUAGUUUGCCAUGAAUGUAUUUCUAUGAAUUGAGAAUAAAAACCCAAUGAUCUAAUAAGUAUGUAAGAUCAGUAGCCGACCUACAGUGUUAAAGGACAUGUAAGAUAAAGGCAUUUUCUUCUCCUCUAACCACUACAGUAAUUUGGUAUUUUAAACAUCACAUAACAUUACAUGUUACAUAUACAGACUGUAGCAUUAGCAAGAUCAAAUGUACAGCAGCGUCACACAACCUGCCUUAAAUAAUUAAUUUUAAAUUUAUUUUUUCUGUCUGUGAUCAGUCGGUUUAAAACAAAUUUCCCAUCAGAGCUGAGAACGUUUGGGAAUUUUAUUGUGAAGGUCUCAUUUCCGGUUUCCCCCCCAGCUCAUACAGUAUCUGCAACCUGUUUUCUUGAUUGACUUCACCUGUGAUCUAAGUUCGCCGUGGCCCGGUUGUCGCGAAGCAGGAAACUGCUGUGACACUAGUCCAGCACCUAACACGAACCAAGACGCGUUUGAAGAACGGAGUUAAAGACCAGAGGGAAACUACAGGUGGUCACUGAGCACAGAACGGCCUGCUUCAUCCAGGAGUGAACGCUUCAGCUCUGUCUCUACUUGAUUCUGCUGAAUUGGAAACCAUCAGAAAGGUUGCAGAGACAGCAGGAACGGAACAGGGCUGGGUUCACUUCAAGAAGGAUGAAGACUGAAUACUGUUGUAUUUGAAAACGUCCUUCUGAUAAUCCUGAGCAUAUGUUGACAUGAAAGCUUGAGUCCCUACAGCAGGCGUGUCCAACCCUGGUCCUCGAGGGCCACUGUCCUGCUGGUUUUUCCAGCUCUCUGCUGAUUACCUCGUUCAGGUGUGUCAGUCAGCUGCUGAUUGACUGAACACACCUGCUCAAGGUGAUCGACAUUAGCUGGGGCAGGAAGCGCUGGAAAACCAGCAGGAGAGUGGCUCUCGAGGACCAGUGUUGAACACCCUGCUUUACAUGAUGCCAGGAGCACAGCAGGGGGUCCAUGUACUGAUGAUGACUGAUUGGUUACCUACAUCCAGUCAAAAUGGCUUUCCAUUUAUUGGAUGAUGCCACAAGUACUUAUUCAAACCCUUAUAGUACCUACUGUAUACUCUAACUCCUUAGGUCCUUCAUUUAUAACCUGAACUGUGGCUUGAUUUGGUUGUUUUAGAUCCAAGCCUACCUAAUAUCAUCUAUACAGCUGUUUACAAGUGCAGCAGUAGAAACAAAGUCAGUGUUUAGUUCAGUGUCAGCACACAAAUCUCCCGUCGUGCUGUGAAGUGUGUUCAUUGUGUGACUAUUGAAGAAGGCUUAACCGCGAAUAAAGUCAAAA